rnacentral:ncRNA from 1 species
UCGAGCAGGGGCGCUGGUAGAUCCGGCUGAGAUCGUGCGUGUGCCGCACGGAACCCUUUGACCUGAUUCGGAUAAUGCCGACGGAGGGAAAUAC